UGCAGGCUUCAUGGUGGAUUUUCUUUAACUUGAAGUCUUUAAAUCAUGAUUUGAGGACUUCAAUAACUUAGCCAGAUGUUAUGGAUCUAUUACAAGAGGGGAUGGGUAAGGUUCUGUGGCCUGCAAUGUGCAGGAAGUCAGACUAGAUG